UACGGAAGGUCCGGGCGUUAUCCGGAUUUACUGGGUGUAAAGGGAGCGUAGACGGUACGCCAAGUCUGAAGUGAAAUGCCGCAGCUUAACUGCGGAACUGCUUUGGAAACUGGCGGGCUAGAGUGCGGGAGGGGUAAGCGGAAUUCCUAGUGUAGCGGUGAAAUGCGUAGAUAUUAGGAGGAACACCAGUGGCGGAGGCGGCUUACUGGACGGUAACUGACGCUGAGGCUCGAAAGCGUGGGGAGCAAACAGG
rnacentral:rRNA from 1 species